rnacentral:rRNA from 1 species
UACGUAGGGUGCGAGCGUUAAUCGGAAUUACUGGGCGUAAAGCGUGCGCAGGCGGUCUGUUAAGACAGAUGUGAAAUCCCCGGGCUUAACCUGGGAACUGCAUUUGUGACUGGCAAGCUAGAGUAUGGCAGAGGGGGGUAGAAUUCCACGUGUAGCAGUGAAAUGCGUAGAGAUGUGGAGGAAUACCGGUGGCGAAGGCAGCCCCCUGGGCCAAUACUGACGCUCAUGCGCGAAAGCGUGGGGAGCAAACAGG